rnacentral:rRNA from 1 species
UAAGGUAAUACUUACUGGAGGUCCGAACCCACGCACGUUGAAAAGUGCGGGGAUGAGGUGUGGGUAGCGGAGAAAUUCCAAUCGAACUUGGAGAUAGCUGGUUCUCUCCGAAAUAGCUUUAGGGCUAGCCUCGAGGUAAAGAGUCAUGGAGGUAGAGCACUGUUUGGACUAGGGGCCCUUCUCGGGUUACCGAAUUCAGAUAAACUCCGAAUGCCAUGUACUUAUACUCGGGAGUCAGACUGCGAGUGAUAAGAUCCGUAGUCGAAAGGGAAACAGCCCAGACCACCAGUUAAGGUCCCCAAAUAUAUGUUAAGUGGAAAAGGAUGUGGGGUUGCUUAGACAACCAGGAUGUUGGCUUAGAAGCAGCCACCAUUGAAAGAGUGCGUAAUAGCUCACUGGUCGAGUGACCCCGCGCCGAAAAUGUACCGGGGCUAAACAUAUUACCGAAACUGUGGAUGAACCUCUUUAGAGGUUCGUGGUAGGAGAGCGUUCUAAGGGCGGUGAAGUCAGACCGGAAGGACUGGUGGAGCGCUUAGAAGUGAGAAUGCCGGUAUGAGUAGCGAAAGAAGGGUGAGAAUCCCUUCCACCGAAUAUCUAAGGUUUCCUGAGGAAGGCUCGUCCGCUCAGGGUUAGUCGGGACCUAAGCCGAGGCCGAUAGGCGUAGGCGAUGGACAACAGGUAGAGAUUCCUGUACCAGUGCUAAUUGUUUAACCGAUG